rnacentral:rRNA from 1 species
UACGUAGGGGGCUAGCGUUGUCCGGAUUUAUUGGGCGUAAAGAGCGUGUAGGCGCCAGACAGGUCCGUUGUGAAAACUCGAGGCUCAACCUCGAGACGCCGAUGGAAACCGUCUGGCUAGAGUCCGGAAGAGGAGAGUGGAAUUCCUGGUGUAGCGGUGAAAUGCGCAGAUAUCAGGAAGAACACCCGUGGCUAAGGCGGCUCUCUAGUACGGUACUGACGCUGAGACGCGAAAGCGUGGGGAGCGAACAGG